rnacentral:rRNA from 1 species
GAGGUUUGAAUAAGAUUUUAAAUGAGUGCUAAGAGAAUGAUUAAACAAUUAAAAGCUUUCUUUAAUUGAAUAAUUGAAUUUAAUUUUUUAGUGCAAAAGCAAAAAUAAAAAUUAGGGACAAGAAGACCCUAUGAAUUUUUUAUUAAAUUUUAUAAAACUUUAUAUAAAAUUUAAUUUAAUUGGGGUGAUGGAAAAAGAAUAAAUAUCUUUUUUUAAAAAAAAAAAUUGGUUCCGUUUUUAGCGAUUAAAUGAAAAAAAUACUCUAGGGAAACCAGCGUAAA